rnacentral:rRNA from 1 species
GUGGGGAAUCUUCCGCAAUGGACGAAAGUCUGACGGAGCAACGCCGCGUGAGUGAUGAAGGUCUUCGGAUUGUAAAGCUCUGUUAAUCGGGACGAAAGAGCCUAGUGUGAAUAAUGCUAGGAAGUGACGGUACCGGAAUAGAAAGCCACGGCUAACUACGUGCCAGCAGCCGCGGUAAUACGUAGGUGGCAAGCGUUGUCCGGAAUUAUUGGGCGUAAAGCGCGCGCAGGCGGAUCUGCCAGUCUGUCUUAAAAGUUCGGGGCUUAACCCCGUGAUGGGAUGGAAACUACAGAUCUAGAGUAUCGGAGAGGAAAGUGGAAUUCCUAGUGUAGCGGUGAAAUGCGUAGAUAUUAGGAAGAACACCAGUGGCGAAGGCGACUUUCUGGACGAAAACUGACGCUGAGGCGCGAAAGCCAGGGGAGCGAACGGGAUUAGAAACCCUGGUAGCC